CGGGGCGGGCGCCGGGGGGGCCUGCCGGGGGGGCCCGGGCGGGGCCUCCGGGGCGGGGGGGGGGACGCCCCGCUUCUGCGGCCCCGGGACCGAGACGGAGAAUUCUGAGCGCGCGACGCAGGGAACCAAGCCCUUCUGGUCGUGGCCUCGAACCCGCCCAGGCGACCGGGAGGAAGAAGGCUGCUCUCCCGCAGGAGGACCUGAGCUUCUCCCAACUAGGACCGGCUCCGUGGCUCCUGUCUCUUAGAAGAAAGCCCAACAUGAGGAACCUCCACUCCAAGCAGUUGCGGAAAGAACACAGGGCACCCUCUCCACCGAGCUCCGGGUCAAGGUCGCAUCUUUCCGACAUUCUCCCCGGGGGAACUGCUGAGAGGAGCCACUGAUGAUGGGAGGAUGGCCCCGUGUCUGCUCAGCAGCACUGACGGACCAGUUCAGCAGGCGCUCAGGCCCCACUCUGUCCACCAGGCGACUCCUUCUGCAGUAGACCAGCCCUGGGCUCCCACACCUUCUGGUCCGUUGGGGGCUACUUCGGUGCACCAGCCCGGGCCACGCCCUCCACGCUGUCUAGCCCGGGGCCAGGGUCGCCUCUACAUCUGCUGAGACCGCUGCACAAGUCCACAACCAGGAGGGCGACGCUGGACACUGACCUGGGAGGGACACUGGGCCAGAGGCUCGGGGAAGCCCGUGUCUGGACAGCCCACAGCUGGCCCCGCCCAGGGGGGCGCGAUGCCUGUGGGCGCGAUGCAGGCUGAUAGCUCGGCCCCUGAGCCGGCACUCCCCAAACGCGCCUCCAGGUAAAGGACCAUCAUCGUCACUAAUAAAAUAUGGCCCCGUGACUCAGAACACCAGGCUGAGAUCUUUCCGCACUAGAGGGCGCCAGAGACCGCGGGGGUCGCACCGGCCCCCCGCGGCUGCCGCAGUCUGUCCGCCAGGGGGCGCGAGCGCUGGCCAUGCGCGGGCCCUUCCGGUCAGCGGUGAUGGGCAUAGAAGGGUCUAGUCCCAAGAGGACCGUGGGUCUCGAGGUUAGGGGUGCUCCUCACCCCAGAGGACUCAGAAAGUUAGGAGUCAAGAAACAAAGGCUUUGGGCAUGAACUAAUGAGUGACCAGCAAAAAAAAAAGAUAUUUUAAAAAUAAGGUAGAUUAGAUUUGAAGAUUAUGCAGUAUUGGGGCCAUACUUAGACUAAAAAAUUAUUCACUGGGCAUUCUGUGUUUUAUCUGCCAUCCUGCUCAUGAAAGAUGAACAAAAGAGAACCGCGAGGAUUUUUGUCUUUUUCUUUGCUCCUUGCUGUGUGUGCGUUUGUAUUUAUCAGCCACGUUCUCUUCUUCUCAGUAUUGCCUUAUGUAGGAGCUGUCAGAGGUUAGCAGAAUGUUCCGUGGAACUGUGAGUGGAUCUGAGGACCAAUUAACACAAUUGGCUGUGAUUAUAAUGACUCUUGAGAGCAGGUGUUUUCCAUUUUGGACGGAGGGUGCUAUCUCGGGGUCAAGGAUGGGGCACCCAAACGGACACCGAGGUUUCUGUGCAGCGGGUGCCAUGCCGGGCUCUGCCAGCAGAUGGUGAUGGAGGAACGCGCAAGGCCACCGCGGCCAGAAAGCGCUUUUCCCGCUUUCCUUCCUUUUAUUGAGCACAGGGGCCAGUGACGGUGUGAGGAUGGCCCCGGGUCCGCUCAGCAGCAGCGCUGACCGACUGUCUAGGACACGUGUGGCCCCCAUCUCAGCACCGAGGCCUCCCCUUUGGCAGGGGGGGUG
ensembl:lincRNA